rnacentral:rRNA from 1 species
AAAUUGAAGAGUUUGAUCAUGGCUCAGAUUGAACGCUGGCGGCAGGCCUAACACAUGCAAGUCGAGCGGUAGCACAGAGAGCUUGCUCUCGGGUGACGAGCGGCGGACGGGUGAGUAAUGUCUGGGAAACUGCCUGAUGGAGGGGGAUAACUACUGGAAACGGUAGCUAAUACCGCAUAAUGUCGCAAGACCAAAGUGGGGGACCUUCGGGCCUCAUGCCAUCAGAUGUGCCCAGAUGGGAUUAGCUAGUAGGUGGGGUAACGGCUCACCUAGGCGACGAUCCCUAGCUGGUCUGAGAGGAUGACCAGCCACACUNNNNNNNNNNNNNNNNNNNNNNNNGCAGAAGAAGCACCGGCUAACUCCGUGCCAGCAGCCGCGGUAAUACGGAGGGUGCAAGCGUUAAUCGGAAUUACUGGGCGUAAAGCGCACGCAGGCGGUUUGUUAAGUCAGAUGUGAAAUCCCCGGGCUCAACCUGGGAACUGCAUCUGAUACUGGCAAGCUUGAGUCUCGUAGAGGGGGGUAGAAUUCCAGGUGUAGCGGUGAAAUGCGUAGAGAUCUGGAGGAAUACCGGUGGCGAAGGCGGCCCCCUGGACGAAGACUGACGCUCAGGUGCGAGUACGGCCGCAAGGUUAAAACUCAAAUGAAUUGACGGGGGCCCGCACAAGCGGUGGAGCAUGUGGUUUAAUUCGAUGCAACGCGAAGAACCUUACCUGGUCUUGACAUCCACGGAAGUUUUCAGAGAUGAGAAUGUGCCUUCGGGAACCGUGAGACAGGUGCUGCAUGGCUGUCGUCAGCUCGUGUUGUGAAAUGUUGGGUUAAGUCCCGCAACGAGCGCAACCCUUAUCCUUUGUUGCCAGCGGUCCGGCCGGGAACUCAAAGGAGACUGCCAGUGAUAAACUGGAGGAAGGUGGGGAUGACGUCAAGUCAUCAUGGCCCUUACGACCAGGGCUACACACGUGCUACAAUGGCGCAUACAAAGAGAAGCGACCUCGCGAGAGCAAGCGGACCUCAUAAAGUGCGUCGUAGUCCGGAUUGGAGUCUGCAACUCGACUCCAUGAAGUCGGAAUCGCUAGUAAUCGUGGAUCAGAAUGCCACGGUGAAUACGUUCCCGGGCCUUG